rnacentral:rRNA from 1 species
UACGAAGGGGGCUAGCGUUGCUCGGAAUCACUGGGCGUAAAGGGUGCGUAGGCGGGUCUUUUAAGUCAGGGGUGAAAUCCUGGAGCUCAACUCCAGAACUGCCUUUGAUACUGAGGGUCUUGAGUAUGACAGAGGUGAGUGGAACUGCGAGUGUAGAGGUGAAAAUUCGUAGAUAUUCGCAAGAACACCAGUGGCGAAGGCGGCUCACUGGCCCGAUACUGACGCUGAGGCACGAAAGCGUGGGGGAGCAAACAGG